rnacentral:rRNA from 1 species
CGGGGACCCCGCACAAGCGGUGGAGCAUGUGGUUUAAUUCGACGAUACACGAAGAACCUUACCUGGACUUGACAUAGUAAGAACUAUCUAGAGAUAGAUGGGUGUCUGCUUGCAGAAACUUAUAUACAGGUGCUGCACGGCUGUCGUCAGCUCGUGUCGUGAGAUGUUGGGUUAAGUCCCGCAACGAGCGCAACCCUCGUCAUUAGUUGCUAACAGUUCGGCUGAGAACUCUAAUGAGACUGCCUACGCAAGUAGGAGGAAGGUGAGGACGACGUCAAGUCAUCAUGGCCCUUACGUCCAGGGCUACACACGUGCUACAAUGGGGUAUACAAAGAGCCGCAAUACGGUGACGUGGAGCAAAUCUCAAAAAUAUCUCCCAGUUCGGAUUGUAGUCUGCAACUCGACUACAUGAAGUUGGAAUCGCUAGUAAUCGUAGAUCAGCUAUGCUACGGUGAAUACGUUCCCGGGUCUUGUACUCACCGCCCGUCACACCAUGGGAGUUGAACUCAUUCGAAGCGGGGAUGCUAAAAUAGCUACCUUCCACAGUGGAUUCAGCGACUGGGGUGAAGUCGUAACAAGGUAACCGUAGGAGAACCUGCGGCUGGAUCACCUCCUU